AUGAACGCUGGCGGCGUGCCUAAUACAUGCAAGUCGAGCGAACAGACGAGGAGCUUGCUCCUCUGACGUUAGCGGCGGACGGGUGAGUAACACGUGGAUAACCUACCUAUAAGACUGGGAUAACUUCGGGAAACCGGAGCUAAUACCGGAUAAUAUAUUGAACCGCAUGGUUCAAUAGUGAAAGACGGUUUUGCUGUCACUUAUAGAUGGAUCCGCGCCGCAUUAGCUAGUUGGUAAGGUAACGGCUUACCAAGGCGACGAUGCGUAGCCGACCUGAGAGGGUGAUCGGCCACACUGGAACUGAGACACGGUCCAGACUCCUACGGGAGGCAGCAGUAGGGAAUCUUCCGCAAUGGGCGAAAGCCUGACGGAGCAACGCCGCGUGAGUGAUGAAGGUCUUCGGAUCGUAAAACUCUGUUAUUAGGGAAGAACAAAUGUGUGAGUAACUAUGCACGUCUUGACGGUACCUAAUCAGAAAGCCACGGCUAACUACGUG
rnacentral:rRNA from 1 species